UGAGGUGUGGAUAGGGGAGAAAUUCCAAUCGAACCCGGAGAUAGCUGGUUCUCCUCGAAAUAGCUUUAGGGCUAGCCCCGUAACAGUCUUGCGGAGGUAGAGCACUGAAUUUCCUAGGGGGCGUCAAAGCCUACCGAAGAAUAUCAAACUGCGAAUGCCGUACAGAUGAUUUACGGGAGUCAGACUGCACGAGAUAAGUUGGGUGGUCAAAAGGGAAAGAGCCCAGACCCGCAGCUAAGGUCCCAAAGUGCGUGUUAAGUGGAAAAGGAUGUGGGAUUUCGAAGACAACCAGGAUGUUGGCUCAGAAGCAGCCACACAUUAAAAGAGUGCGUAAUAGCUCACUGGUCGAGAGGUCCUGCGCCGAAAAUGUCCGGGGCUGAAACACGACACCGAAGCUCGGGAAUCAGAGAUGAUUGGUAGAGGAGCAUUGAAGACGGAACGAAGCCAUACCGGAAGGAGUGGUGGACUGUCUUGAAGAGAGAAUGCCGGAAUGAGUAGCGAGAGAGAAGUGAGAAUCUUCUCGGCCGAAUAUCCAAGGUUUCCAGGGUAAAGCUGAUCUGCCCUGGGUAAGUCGGGGCCUAAGGCGAGGUCGGAAGACGUAGCCGAUGGACAACAGGUUGAAAUUCCUGUACUGUGAUAUAUCAGAACUGUGGGGACACAGCGGGAAGGCAUGGGCCGGAAAAGGAAAAUCCGGUGCAAGCACCAGAGGAGUAUGGCAGGCAAAUCCGCCAUGCAAUCCGAAAGUGUGAUGCGGAGCGAACAAAAGUAGCGAAGCAUGCUUACCGGCUGUCGAGAAAAGCCGCUAUUGCGUAUAUCACACCCGUACCGUAAACCGACACAGGUGGAUGAGGAGAGAAUCCUAAGGCCGGCGGGAGAAGCAUUGUUAAGGAACUCGGCAAAAUGACCCCGUAACUUCGGGAGAAGGGGUGCUCCAGAGAUGGAGCCGCAGAGAACUGGCCCAAGCAACUGUUUAGCAAAAACACAGGUCUAUGCAAAACCGAAAGGUGAGGUAUAUGGGCUGACGCCUGCCCGGUGCUGGAAGGUUAAGAGGAGAGCUUAGCGCAAGCGAAGGUUUGAAUUUAAGCCCCAGUAAACGGCGGCCGUAACUAUAACGGUCCUAAGGUAGCGAAAUUCCUUGUCGGGUAAGUUCCG
rnacentral:rRNA from 1 species